CUCAGCUUUCCUCCCACAUUUAUUCUUUUUGUUUUCCCACAAGUAAUUUUCCGUUCCUUCCAAAGCCACUCCCACCUUAACAUUUCCAGCUUUGUGUUUAUUUCUCCAUUGCUCUGAUUAAGCCCAAGCAAAGCCCAAGGACCAGGCUGCAAGGCUCACCAUCCCUCCAGGCAGACACAGAUGGACAGGAGCUCUGGGGCCAAAGCAGGAGUCUCUCCAUUGCCCAGAGAAGAGCGUGUGUUUUGUAGGUGUGGAUGCAGUUUUGCGUCGUAGCUGCAGCUCAGUUCGCACCCAGAGCACCGAGAAUGGCGCCGCCAGUUCCUUCCCAGGGAACUGCAUCCAGCAUCUCAGCAUCAAGCCGCCACAACUUUGAACUGCGUCUGUGAGCAUCUGUGUGUCAUCUCGAGUUAUUUUGUGCAUCCGUUAGCAAGAUGUGCUCCAAGGAGUCCAGUGAGAACUGUUCUUUUCAGUUCUCCACCUCAGCUCCGCAACCAGCUUCAUAUAUACCUGCUCAUCGAUUUGGAUGGUUACCUGGGGCUUCAGGAUUUGUUAACAGCAAGACAGUGCAUUGGCUACUAAUUGGGUAAUGAUAAGGAUUGUUUUAACUGUAGCUUUUUUGCAGCAAUUUCAUUGAAAAGUGCAUGCUCAGGGGCUCAAUUUCUAUCAGUACACCCCUGAUUAAACACAGCCAGCCCACGGCAUGCCAGGUUAUGGCUAGAUCAUAAAGGCAGUCAACAUGCCCCAACCAGUCCUUACGCUAGACCUACUACCAUUUUUCUCAAGUCAUCAUUUCCAUUCCUCUGAUUUUGAUACUUGUUCAUUCCGUUUUGGAGACCGGUCAGACCUUGUUUUACUUUUUAGGAAAGACUGCAUUCUAGUUCCAACUCUACCACUAUUCAGUUGAGUGCCCUUUUGAAAGUCACUUUACCAACCUCUAUGCCCGCAGUUCUCAACACAGAAUGAGUGUUAGAAUACCAGUGCAUUGACCCUCCCCCAGAAAUUCGAGUUCAAUUGGGCCACAGUUUUAACAUCAUCCUUAGGUGAUUAUAAUGGGCAGUCCAGGUUAAGAACCACAAAACUAAAGGUUCCUAACCACCCUGUGCAAAUUUCUAACCUCCCCACCCCUGUGCAUUCAGAGAGUCUGAUUUAGGAGACUCGAUUAAAGACAGCAGAUUUUCUAUUUUAAUGAUGCUAAAACUGGUAGCUUAGGGAGAAAUCUCUGGGAGACACUGAUUAAAAAGAGGCAAGGGCUACAUCAUAGGACCUCCGGGGUCUAUCUCAGGGUUAGUGUUCUAUAAUUCGGAGUUGCUGCCCUGCAAGAAGAGUGAAUGAUCCCAACACUUAGUUCCUAUGAUGUGUUAAGAAUGCUGGGGUUUCUUUACCUUGAGAUAAAGAACCUGUCUGUUCCUUCUCAGCUUGUCUUCCUUUCCCCAUAACUGGGCAAUUGAUCCCAGGAUGUGAGCUCAGCCUCUCCUGUUACUUUCCUACUUCCCACUCCCACACCCUCUUCUACCCUCAAUGUAUUGAAACCAGUCCUGUUGACCAUAGGAUUUUGGAAGCACUGAUCAUUAUGGACUAAUGCACCAGCUCUAAUUAUUGGAUUUCCACCACAACCACACAAGAUUAAACCCUCCCACUUUGGACCUUGAUGCUGUAACGAACUCCUACAUUGCUGUUUGUGCCUGAAUCACUGUCUUGAAAAGAGCUGAAAGCCAAACCACCUUGCUGCCUCCCCUGUAUGUGCCGCCAGCCAUGUGCCGUGGAGAGGACCUCUCCCAGAUCUGGCCUAGUGCCAGAGAUCUUUGACUUCUCACACAUGUGCGUUGCACUUACUGGGAAUGCCCUGACACUGAAUGCUUGCCCAGAAUGCCUCCUACUGUGUAAGUCCUUGUUAACCCCUGGUGAAUGUCACUUCGCCCCUGCCACUCACCACACUGCUCGCAUUUUGUUCCAGACCCCAGUGCCUCCUAAGUCGCCAUAUUGCUGACUUAAGCACUUAUUAUUUACCUAGCACUAUGCCAAGAAAAUUGCAUUCAGUAUCACAUUUAAUCCUCGCAAAAGGCAAAUGAGAUAUACAUUAAUUUUAUCCACAUUUUACAAAUGAGGAAAUAAAGGGAGCUUAAAGUUAUUAAGAUCAUAUAGCCUGACAACCAAAUCCUCAGGACACGGCAAGCACAAGACCCACAGCUAACAAUACUGUGUUGUACUUGGAAUUUGCUAAGAGGAUAGACCUUAUUUUAAGUGUUCUUUCCACGCAUUGCCAUCACCGUCAUCAUAGGGGAUGGAAAGAAUUUGGGGAGGAGAUGCACGUGCUUAUGAUGUUGACGGUGGUAAUGAUUUCAUGAGUACACACUUAUUCCUGAACUCAUCAUGAAAUAUGUACAUUAAAUAUGUGAUGCUUUGUAUAUGUCAAUC